AGUACGUGAAACUGCUUAGAGGUAAAGCCUGAUGAACCUGAAUAUCCAUUAUUGGAAAAUUCAUCGCCAAUGUUAUAUAUAUUUAUAUAUUAUAAAAAUGGCGUGCAUUUUUUCCAUAAAGGACAUUGUAAUCGGUUAAUUAAUUUAAAGUUUAUCAAAAGAUUCAUUAUAAAGAGCUUAUUCUAAUUAAACUUAUUUUAGUUUAGUAUUGAAUAAAUUUUAUGAAUUUGAUAAACUAUUGACCGAUUUCAUUAUAAUAAUGUUAUAAAUUUCUUUUGAAAUUUUACAAUAAUUGUUUAUGUAUUUAUAAUGAGUACAUAUUUAAUUAUAGUAUACAUUUUUAUGAUUUACAAUGCUAUAAAUUCAGGAUACCUUCGGGACCCGUCUUGAAACACGGACCAAGGAGUCUAACAUAUGUGCAAGUCGUUGAGAAUUUAAAUAAAAACUCAAAGGCAUAAUUAACUUAACUGUUUUUAUAUGAUUGGAUUAAUUUAUAUAUAUUUGUUCUUUUUUAAGAAUUAAAUGUUGUAAAUUCAAUCCAAGGGCGUUCUAUAUAGUUAUGCAUAAUGAUAUUUUAUAUUAUUUAUGUCUCUAACUG
rnacentral:rRNA from 1 species